rnacentral:rRNA from 1 species
UACGGAGGGUGCAAGCGUUAUCCGGAUUCAUUGGGCGUAAAGGGUGCGUAGGCGGCGCGGUAAGUCGGGUGUGAAAUCUCGGAGCUUAACUCCGAAACUGCAUUCGAUACUGCCGUGCUUGAGGACUGAAGAGGAGACUGGAAUUUACGGUGUAGCGGUGAAAUGCGUAGAUAUCGUAAGGAAGACCAGUGGCGAAGGCGGGUCUCUGGACAGUUCCUGACGCUGAGGCACGAAGGUCAGGGGAGCAAACGGGAUUAGAA